rnacentral:misc_RNA from 1 species
UAAUAAGUGUUUUAUGGCACUUUUUAAGUCCAUAUCCACCUUGUGUGCAAUGUCAGUCGAUCUUCUUCAUGGAGAUCGACCAAACAUCAACCUUUAUCUUUUAACUCUUUGUCUGAAAAAUAUUAUGAAUAAACAAUUCAAAAUA